rnacentral:lncRNA from 1 species
AUAUUCAGUGAAGGUCUUAACAAAAGGCAUCAAUUCCCCAGGCUGCACUUGAAGACACUUAGAGGAGUAAACAUCUUUGUGAGGAACACUUGGAUGACUUCCUGUGUAAGAUAAGGAACAAAAAAGUGUUCAGUGUCACUAUUUGCUGUUAAACACAUGUGCCCACAUUUUCCUUCUUCCCCCACCACUAGUCAAGAAAACACUAACAAGCUAGGAGUUCAUUUUACAGAUGAGGAAACUGAGGCAAACAAAAUUAAGCAACUUGCCCAGCAUCACACAGUUAGCAAGUGUUUGAGGCCAGAUUUGAACUCAAGAAGAUGAGAGAACCUGGCACUGAAUGAAGAACUAUGAUCAUAGCCCAGAAGGCUUUGGAGUCCAGAAGGCCUGGGACUUAGUCUCUGACACAUCCUGGUAAUAUGAUUCUAGGCAGGUUACUUAACUUCUCAAAGCCUGAGGCAACUUUCUGAGACUACAAUUCUCCCCCUCUGCGUCAGUGAAAUCACAUGCCUGUUGGAAAGAGAAAAAUAAAACUAAACCAAAGCUCA